rnacentral:tRNA from 7 species
GCCCACGUAGCUCAGUGGCAGAGCACCCCCUUGGUAAGGGGGAGGUCACGAGUUCAAUCCUCGUCGUGGGCU